rnacentral:rRNA from 1 species
CCUACGGGGGACAGCAGUCGAGAAUCAUUCACAAUGGGGGAAACCCUGAUGGUGCGACGCCGCGUGGGGGAAUGAAGGUCUUCGGAUUGUAAACCCCUGUCAUGUGGGAGCAAAUUAAAAAGAUAGUACCACAAGAGGAAGAGACGGCUAACUCUGUGCCAGCAGCCGCGGUAAUACAGAGGUCUCAAGCGUUGUUCGGAACCACUGGGCGUAAAGCGUGCGUAGGCUGUUUCGUAAGUCGUGUGUGAAAGGCGCGGGCUCAACCCGCGGACGGCACAUGAUACUGCGAGACUAGAGUAAGGGAGGGGGAACCGGAAUUCUCGGUGUAGCAGUGAAAUGCGUAGAUAGCGAGAGGAACACUCGUGGCGAAGGCGGGUUCCUGGACAUUAACUGACGCUGAGGCACGAAGGCCAGGGGAGCGAAAGGGAUUAGAUACCCCAGUAGUC